AUGGAGACAUGGCCUAAAGCCGGAUCGUGAGAGACAUUGGCUCCAUUCACUCAUUAGUCUGUAACUUGAAUUAAUCCACAUCUCAUGUU
rfam:Cavia porcellus supercont2_41 genomic scaffold, whole genome shotgun sequence.